rnacentral:rRNA from 1 species
UACGUAGGGUGCAAGCGUUGUCCGGAAUUAUUGGGCGUAAAGGGCGCGUAGGCGGUGCGGUAAGUCACCUGUGAAAACUCUGGGCUCAACUCAGAGCCUGCAGGCGAAACUGCCGUGCUUGAGUGUGGGAGAGGUGCGUGGAAUUCCCGGUGUAGCGGUGAAAUGCGUAGAUAUUGGGAAGAACACCGGUGGCGAAGGCGGCUCACUGGCCCGUUUCUGACGCUCAUGCACGACAGCGUGGGGAUCAAACAGG